GUAAUUUCUGUACAUGUACUAAAUUCUGAGUAAUACAAAGAUCAGCAAGACCCCCGCAGAGGAAUGAUACACAUUCACAAGACACUUCAAUUUUU
rnacentral:sRNA from 1 species